GUCCGCCGGCGCCCCCUGGGAUUGGGGAGAGAGGGAAGGGCUGAGGCUCACGGUUUCGGAGUAAGGGGAGCGGCCCGGCGAGCCGCCGCGCCUGGGUUAAGAGCUGCAGGAGGAACGUGGCUUCACGAGUUCGGCUCCUCGGCCAUCCACAGCCCGGGCCUCCGCCUCUGCUGACCUGGCGGCUGUAGAAGGCAGAAGAGGCCUGAAACCUGCAGCAGGAGCACCACCCUGCCCCGCGGCCCCGCGCGCCCUCCAGUGGCGUCAUCCCAUCCGCUUUGAUCUCGACUGGCGCGCCUACCCUCGGCAGCGGCACCCCUUGGGAGCGCAAUCGCGGGCAGACUCCGAGGACCCAUCUUGCGAAAGUUCUGCGAGGUCCUGACUUUAAGGGAACAGGGGUCGUACUUGGGCCAUGGCCGGAAGGGAGAUCCAACAUCCAUGACGACGUCUACCCCCCAGCCUGCCCCUUCAGAGCCCAGUCUGUGCCUUGCGUCAAAGUCAAGCAAGGGCUCUUGUAGGGCACCGAGCCCCAGCCAAAAUCACCCUUUUCUUUCAGAUAGCCCCCACUUACCCCCAGAAACCUUACUCUCUCCCUCGGGAGCAGGUGGGAAGUGAAAGGCCGGGGGGGCUGUUUCUGCUCUGCUUGUCUGUACCUGUGGCCCUUGAGUGGAAAACCCCGCCGCUGGACCAAAGACCUGGAGGCUCCAGGAUUGCCCACUUGGGACCCUGACUAUGAAGGGUCAAGAUAGCCCAUUCUGCCCCAGCACUCAGAGCCCUAUUACCAAGGCCCCUACUCCAAGAAUCCACCAUCAAAACCGGGGCCCUGCCAGUGCCUUCCCAGUGUUCAGGCCUAGGGAAGAAUAGCCCCAUUAUGCCUGUUACUCCUGAUCCUUCUGCAGUCUCUCUCUUUGUGACCCCAUGGCCUUUGCUGCUAUGUCUGCCCUGGCCCCACAGAGUGCCAGGUCAGAGCCACCCUGGCCUACAUAGCAGGGCCCCGGUUCACAGGCUAAAACCUGGGCCUCCUGCCAGGCUGCAACUCCCAGCUGCACACCGCAACCUGAGACAUCUCAGCAUAUUCUAGGAACUAGUAAUGGGGACGCUUCCGACUCGCUGGGGAAGGGAGAUGAGGGCCUCUAGCUCUCCAUGCCCAGUCUCUCAUCAUCAAAGUCAUUUAAGGCCCCAGCGACCCCAGGGUUCAGCAGCUCCUCUGCUCGCUGAGAUAGACACAUACCUGAUUGCCUCCUUUGGAGAGGCUUGUCAGAAACAAAAUAAUGCAACCAUUUGUCUCUCAGCUACCUGCGACCUGGAAGCCCCCUCCCCACUUCGAGUUGUCCCCGCCUUUCUGGACGGAACCAACGUACUUCUUACAUAUAUCGAUUGAUGUCUCAUGUCUCCUUAAAAUGUAUGAAAACAAACUGUGCCCUGACCACCUUGGGCACAUGUCGCCAGGACUCCCUGAGGCUGUGUCACGGGCACGCAUCUUCAACCUUGGCAAAAUAAAGUUUCUGAAUUAACUGAGA
rnacentral:lncRNA from 10 species